GACGAACGCUGGCGGCGUGCCUAACACAUGCAAGUCGAGCGGAGAUGUACUGAAGAUUUAUCGGAUGUACAUCUUAGCGGCGGACGGGUGAGUAACGCGUGGGCAACCUGCCUUCCACUGGGGGAUAACACAGGGAAACCUGUGCUAAUACCGCAUGACAUCACAUAGGGCAUCCUGUGUGAUCAAAGGAGUGAUCCGGUGGAAGAUGGGCCCGCGUCCGAUUAGCUAGUUGGUGAGGUAACGGCUCACCAAGGCGACGAUAGGUAGCCGGCCUGAGAGGGUGAACGGCCACACUGGAACUGAGACACGGUCCAGACUCCUACGGGAGGCAGCAGUGGGGGAUAUUGCACAAUGGAGGAAACUCUGAUGCAGCGACGCCGCGUGAGUGAAGAAGGCCUUCGGGUCGUAAAGCUCUGUCCUAGGGGAAGAUAAUGACGGUACCCUAGGAGGAAGCCCCGGCUAACUACGUG
rnacentral:rRNA from 1 species